CACGUAGGGGGCAAGCGUUGUCCGGAAUCAUUGGGCGUAAAGAGCUCGUAGGCGGCUCAGUAAGUCGGGUGUGAAACCCCCAGGCUCAACCUGGGGACGCCACCCGAUACUGCUGUGGCUAGAGUCCAGUAGGGGAGUGUGGAAUUCCCGGUGUAGCGGUGAAAUGCGCAGAUAUCGGGAGGAACACUAGCGGCGAAGGCGGCACUCUGGGCUGGUACUGACGCUGAGGAGCGAAAGCGUGGGUAGCAAACAGG
rnacentral:rRNA from 1 species